rnacentral:sRNA from 1 species
UGAAAAAGCAGGGUCUGGGUUUUGUC